UGUACAAACACCAAAUGGAAAAUGUAUGUGUAUAAAAUUUCUGUAAAAGUUGUAGCAGAAUUGCAAAGUCACGGCUUGAAGCAGUGAUUGAGCACCUGGUGGGAAGGCAGUGCUAGCCCAAGGGAGAUCAGCUGUAUGCAGUACACCUGAGUGACCGGAAAGGUUGCAGCCAGGAUCCACCCCUUCCACCCUCAUUUAAGGGUUGGCUGUGGAAGUAAGGGUAUCUCACUUGUGAUCUCUGUUUACUUGAGGUAUUCUCAUGGUAAGUGACAAAAUGGAAUGGAAUAUCAGUGGGAAGGCUCAACCUCUACUGCCACACCAUCAAUAUUCACCUCUCACUUUAAGGGCCAUCAUAAUAAAAUAGGAGGCGUUACUUUCAGAGCAGCCCUUGGUAGCUGGAGGAGAGCUCAUGUUGCUUUCAUGCAAGGGGAUGUUUGACUUUUUCUGGUCUUGCAGUACUUCAGCUGUCCUCAACAGUUUCUCACGAUUACUGAAAAAUGUCUGAGACUACCUAAGACAGUGGUGUGUGCAGGAUGAAGUUCAACUAGCUUAACCAGCCACCUGGUUGCAAUGAACCAUUUAGUGAAGACAUAUGAAGGGAAAAACUAACAAAUCAAGCCUCAAGCCUCAGCAUCAUUUGUUAAUUUCAUUCCCUCAGUACUGAGCAGGGAAGAAACCUUUUCCUUCCUCUUCCAUCACUUGCUAAUACAAUUACACAAUAACUUGUAUCUUUUAAGCUCCCUGCUACUUCUAUUUCACAUUAUGCUUUGGCCUUUCUGAUUUUUGUCCUUGUAUUUUUUUUGUGAUAGUCCAUAGCAAGCUGACCACAUUUGUGUGUGUUCCUCUGUGUUCAUGGAUGGCAUCCAUAUCUUAGCCAACUGGAUACACAUGUAUGUACAGGAGAUAUGGUUGAGGUGUUUAUUUAUUAAUUUGAAAAGGGUUGUUCUUAAGCUUUCCUAUUUUAAAAUACUUAAUUAUCAGGUUUUUUUACUUUCUUUGUAUUCAAGUUCUGAAUAAAGUGGGAGGGCACAGGAGGAAGAAGAAAUGUCUUUCUUGUUUGCAUAUUACCCACAAU